AUAGGAUCUAGACCUGGCAUAUCUUCAUACGACCAUGCAAAAAUAUCCGGAUAUUCCCGGAGGAGCUGGAUGAUCUUCUGUUUAACCCCUUCCUUUAGAGUAGCACCAAUCUUGAUUUCUCGCUUGUUUUCCUCGGUACCUAUGUUGAUAAGCUCAAUCUCUUCCUGG
rnacentral:pre_miRNA from 1 species